GACGAACGCUGGCGGCGUGCUUAACACAUGCAAGUCGAACGGUGAAGCGCCUUCCUUUUUGGUGGGUGUGGAUGAGUGGCGAACGGGUGAGUAACACGUGAGUAACCUGCCCCCUUCUUCUGGAUAACCGCAUGAAAGUGUGGCUAAUACGGGAUAUUCUGGGUCUGUCGCAUGAUGGGUCUGGGAAAGAUAUUGUUUCGGUGGGGGAUGGGCUCGCGGCCUAUCAGCUUGUUGGUGGGGUGAUGGCCUACCAAGGCGGUGACGGGUAGCCGGCCUGAGAGGGUGGACGGUCACACUGGGACUGAGACACGGCCCAGACUCCUACGGGAGGCAGCAGUGGGGAAUAUUGCACAAUGGGCGCAAGCCUGAUGCAGCGACGCCGCGUGAGGGAUGGAGGCCUUCGGGUUGUGAACCUCUUUCGCCAGUGAAGCAGGCCUGCCUCGUUUGUGGGUGGGUUGACGGUAGCUGGAGAAGAAGCGCCGGCUAACUGCGUG
rnacentral:rRNA from 1 species